GUGGAAUCGGUGGCCAGAGAGAAACGCUUAGAAUAGAAAUGCAUAACCCUGGGCCGCACAAUAAAGCAGCAGGGAGCCUAGGACCCGGAGGGCCUCCUCUCUAAGCGAGAGGGAGGGCAGAGGGGGAAGAGGAGGUGCAAAGGCGAAGGCUCGUCGCAAUUGGGCUGGCGCGUGGCCGCAGGAAUAAACUGUGGCGGCGGCUGGCUGGGUUCUGCGGGCCGAAGGGCGCGCCCCAGCCCCUAGGGGAGAAUUGGGCAGGGCGCCCGCCCGGGGCGGCCUCUGAGCCGCGUCCCCGAGGACUCGGGGGGCUGUAGGGGCCGGACUUGGCAACGACUCAGACUCCGGGAGCGCUGGGCGGUGGAAGGCGGUGCGCGUUGAACAGGAAGUGCGCGGUGUGCGGCGCCACUGUCCCACUCCACGCCGCCCCCAGGUCCGAUCCCCGGAAACACACACCCACACCCCGACCGCGCCGCGAUUGAAACCCUGGGUGUUAAGUGGCUCGGGUGAUCCGCACUUGCUUCGCGGAACACCGCCGCCCUGCGGGGAGGGGGCCCGCAUCUCGAUCCAGAGAGGCCUGUGGCGGGGUUCAGGAGGCUGAGUGAGUUACAGAGAGGAUCUGUCUAGCAUCUCAGUGUCACCAGCUCCUAAAGUAUGUAUUUUGAUGAGCUCAUGGUUCUUUGGGAUGGUGGCUGUAGUAUGCCAACCUGACCAGCCUCUGAUGCCCACCAACUGGUCAGAUGUCAAUGCGGAUUCUGUUGCAAAGGUAUUUUGAAGACGAGGUUAUAUUUCAAAACAGGGCCUGUAAGCAGGUCACUGUCCGUAAUAUGGUGGGCCCUGCCUCAUGAGUUGAAACCCUUAAGAGAAACAGCUAGAACUCUCCAAAAAAGAGAAGGAAUCAUGCCUCCAGACAUCCUCAGAGUUAAACUUAUAACUCCAAUUCUUUCCUAAAUUCCCAGCUGCCCUGUCCUGUAGAUUUCAGACUUUCCCCCACAGUGAGCCAAUUCUUUAAAGUCAAUCUCUCUCAGAACCCCACCUCACCUUUUCUUUCUCUGCCACCUGCAAAGCUACAAGCUCCAUGCCUGGUGGCACCUGGACCAUUCCCAGAAGUCUUGUGGACAUGGAGGACAUCUUGGAGAAGGGCCUGUGUGGCAGGAGCACAGGCAGCGGACUCCCUGAGCGCAGGCACAGCAGGGCUGCUUCACAGGCAGGUGGCCUUGUUACAGGGGAUUAGGUGAGGAACUGUGAAACCCAAGCGCUCAGAUCCCUCCAGGAAAGAAGAGCUUCCUCUGAGCUGAAGAAAGCCCAGCUCACACUCACUAAUGACUGAGUUUGCAACGCCCAUCCCUGCUUUUCACAAGAACAAGAA